AUUUGCUCGAAUCGAAGACGUGAGAAGCUCUCCGAAAACCUUCCAUAAUAUUCCGAUCUGAGCGGAGGUUGAUCAUCGAGGUUUGUAUCACCGGUUGAACCUGGCAUUCUUAUUUUUGAAUCGUGUGACUGAAUGAUCCAUGGAGUCUA